UGUCAAGGGUCAAGUGUCAACCCACGACCUUCCGCUUACCGGGCAGAUGCCAUGACCACUAGGCUAUCCUGGAC